rnacentral:lncRNA from 13 species
CUGUGAUGAAGUCAUUUAGGGCUGGCGUGAGUUUAAAUUAGGCAGUGAUGUCGCCUCACACAUGCAGGAGCAUGCCUUGAACACACCAGCAUCUUCCACAAUGGUCUGCACACAAGAAUGGAUGCUUUCCUCAUACAAAAAUAAAUACUUCAAAAAUUAGGUAUCACUGGCUUCAUCACUAAAACCUGGAAAAUGCCUUCUCCUCUAUGUAUAGCAGAGUCACUUGAUGUUUAAAACCACGUUUGUGCUUCCAUCUCCCCAGUUAGCAUUGUUCUUUUUAAGAAGCACCUUCACCUCUUCUGUGUACACUUCAGACUCUGCCGAGUCGCUCGCACAAGGACUUGGAGCUUCUCUCCUACACGUGACUCUGGCUGCUCCUGUGAUGACGAAGCCCCAUGAUUAAGGAGACAAUUUAGACCGUGGACAAAACACAGGCUCUUGCCCCAGAUUGUACACGUCCUAUAACGAGGAAGAAGGGUCGUUGAACUGACCAUAUGCUCACUACUAAGUAAAUAGGAAGGCAUGAUAUAUGAAAAGAACAGACAAUAAAAAGUUUAAUAUGUAAUUGUUAUUACCUUUU